rnacentral:rRNA from 1 species
UCCAGAGAAUUUAGCAGAGAUGCUUUAGUGCCUUCGGGAACUCUGAGACAGGUGCUGCAUGGCUGUCGUCAGCUCGUGUUGUGAAAUGUUGGGUUAAGUCCCGCAACGAGCGCAACCCUUAUCCUUUGUUGCCAGCACGUAAUGGUGGGAACUCAAAGGAGACUGCCGGUGAUAAACCGGAGGAAGGUGGGGAUGACGUCAAGUCAUCAUGGCCCUUACGAGUAGGGCUACACACGUGCUACAAUGGCGCAUACAAAGAGAAGCGACCUCGCGAGAGCAAGCGGACCUCAUAAAGUGCGUCGUAGUCCGGAUUGGAGUCUGCAACUCGACUCCAUGAAGUCGGAAUCGCUAGUAAUCGUAAAUCAGAAUGUUACGGUGAAUACGUUCCCGGGCCUUGUACACACCGCCCGUCACACCAUGGGAGUGGGUUGCAAAAGAAGUAGAUAGCUUAACCUUCGGGAGGGCGUUUACCACUUUGUGAUUCAUGACUGGGGUGAAGUCGUAACAAGGUAAGCGUAGUGCU